AAAAAGAGGAGUGAAUUUCAUCUGGUAGGAAUGGUUUGGGUGUGGUUCCGCCCGAAGAGAGGAAAGGAUCUAAGUGGGUUGUUUUAUGGGCAUAUUUAAAAGCCAGAACUAGGAGAUAGCCAGGGCCCAACACUGCCUCUGCAGGAGAGUGGGGCUGUCAUCAGCAGCUGGGAAAACUGCUGUGGUGACAUACUCAAGAGUAUCACCGAAAACCUCCCUCUACAGACAUACCCAGGAACUACCUGGACAACAUCCUUCAUCCAGAAUUCUUGUACCCCUCCCUCCCAAUCAGGGGUACCCUUGCCUUCCCCCACAGCCCUAUUCCCUGCUUUUUUAAAAAAUAUUUUUUCAAUGUGGAAUUUUUUUAAGUUUUUAUUGACUUUUUUUUUUUUUUACAACAUUGCUUCUGUUUUAUGUUUUGGUUUUUUGGCAGAGAAGCAUGUGCGAUCAUAGCUCCGCAACCAGGGAUCGAACUUGUGCCCCCAGCAGUGGAAACACAGUCUUAACCACCCGACUGCCACCAAAGUCCCAGCAAACAUAUUUUAACUGUUUUCAUUACCCUCCUACUUAUAUCUCUUUUAAGAAUAAAAUUAUAUAGUGCAAAACUAGA